UACAGAGGUCCCAAGCGUUGUUCGGAUUCAUUGGGCGUAAAGGGCGCGUAGGCGGCGGGGUAAGUCUGGUGUGAAAUCUAGGAGCUCAACUCCUAAACUGCACUGGAUACUGCUCUGCUGGAGGACUGGAGAGGAGACUGGAGUUCACGGUGUAGCAGUGAAAUGCGUAGAUAUCGUGAGGAAGACCAGUGGCGAAGGCGGGUCUCUGGACAGUUCCUGACGCUGAGGCGCGAAGGCCAGGGGAGCAAACGGG
rnacentral:rRNA from 1 species